rnacentral:tRNA from 1 species
AAGCCCCGGCACCUCUUUGUGGUGCUUCUCCGAACUUGCAUUUCGGCGUGAUAUCACUGCGGCG